UACGUAGGGGGCAAGCGUUGUCCGGAUUUAUUGGGCGUAAAGAGCGUGUAGGCGGCUAUACAGGUCCGCUGUGAAAACUCGAGGCUCAACCUCGAGACGUCGGUGGAAACCGUAUGGCUAGAGUCCGGAAGAGGAGAGUGGAAUUCCUGGUGUAGCGGUGAAAUGCGCAGAUAUCAGGAAGAACACCCGUGGCGAAGGCGGCUCUCUGGGACGGUACUGACGCUGAGACGCGAAAGCGUGGGGAGCGAAGCAGG
rnacentral:rRNA from 1 species